rnacentral:rRNA from 1 species
UACGUAGGGUGCAAGCGUUAAUCGGAAUUACUGGGCGUAAAGCGUGCGCAGGCGGUUAUGCAAGACAGAUGUGAAAUCCCCGGGCUCAACCUGGGAACUGCAUUUGUGACUGCAUGGCUAGAGUACGGUAGAGGGGGAUGGAAUUCCGCGUGUAGCAGUGAAAUGCGUAGAGAUGCGGAGGAACACCGAUGGCGAAGGCAGCCCCCUGGGCUAACACUGACGCUCAGGCACGAAAGCGUGGGGAGCAAACAGG